AUAAUGGGUCAGCGACUUAUAUUCUGUAGCAAGGUUAACCGAAUAGGGGAGCCGAAGGGAAACCGAGUCUUAACUGGGCGUUAAGUUGCAGGGUAUAGACCCGAAACCCGGUGAUCUAGCCAUGGGCAGGUUGAAGGUUGGGUAACACUAACUGGAGGACCGAACCGACUAAUGUUGAAAAAUUAGCGGAUGACUUGUGGCUGGGGGUGAAAGGCCAAUCAAACCGGGAGAUAGCUGGUUCUCCCCGAAAGCUAUUUAGGUAGCGCCUCGUGAAUUCAUCUCCGGGGGUAGAGCACUGUUUCGGCAAGGGGGUCAUCCCGACUUACCAACCCGAUGCAAACUGCGAAUACCGGAGAAUGUUAUCACGGGAGACACACGGCGGGUGCUAACGUCCGUCGUGAAGAGGGAAACAACCCAGACCGCCAGCUAAGGUCCCAAAGUCAUGGUUAAGUGGGAAACGAUGUGGGAAGGCCCAGACAGCCAGGAUGUUGGCUUAGAAGCAGCCAUCAUUUAAAGAAAGCGUAAUAGCUCACUGGUCGAGUCGGCCUGCGCGGAAGAUGUAACGGGGCUAAACCAUGCACCGAAGCUGCGGCAGCGACGCUUAUGCGUUGUUGGGUAGGGGAGCGUUCUGU
rnacentral:rRNA from 1 species